GCGACGGAGGAUCGCGAGGGAAUCUGAAAACGGAGACAAUAUGGGAUGGUCGACGGGACUGUUACUCCCCGCCGUUCGCCGUGGGACUCGUGGUCGUCUCGUGGAACCCUGUAUCGCGCGAUAAAGAUGUUGCAAAUUACGAGAUACGAAACGGGGAGGGAUAAACGCUGCUAGAAUAGAAACCGACCUGCAGACCUUCUGUAACUUUACUGAUACGUGCAAUUGUGCGGCGCGGAGAGAAUUUCAAUUUCCUAAAAAGUCUUCUGAUCCUUUAAAGGGAUGUACUUUUUCAAAGGCACGAUUAUUGUAUUUUACAAGUGAAUAUUAUAUUUAAAAAAAUAUCCUGGGAGAGGUGUUUUGCCUUAAAGAUAAAAGAUGCGAGCCUCUCUAAACUCGGAAUAAUAUUUCUGCGCGACGUUUUCUCCGCGCUGUUGAAGAGAAACAAUUUUAACUCAACGAUCUUGCGACAUACAUAAUAUAUAAAUAUUAGGAUAAGUGAAACACCUUUUCUUUCAUAAAUGAAAGCCUCUCGUCUUCCUAACGGAUUUAUUUUUAAAGAAAUAGUAGAUUUCCGCGGAUUACCUCUGCGGAUGAUCAACGAAUUAUGAGAAAUCCCCGUUAAAUUUUUUAAUCAAUCUUUCCAUAAUUCUAAUCUUUACAUAUAAUUGUUUUUAUAUAAAUUAAUUAUUUGAGAAAUGUGCAAGAAUGUAAGAAAGGAAAAGGAUUACGAGAAGGAAAUUUUGCGAAAAUUUCGAGCCUCGAUUUUCGAAACUUCUACUUUCGAGUUUGCAACAAUAUCAUCGGGAUCAUAUCGAUCGCGCCAAAUAUCUUGGACUCCAAAUCGCGCUCGUAAGGUGACAAUGGUCGAAUCGGGAAUUUCUGUCGGGCAAGAUAAGACUUUUGAUUGACCGACAUCUUAAUGCCUCACGCCUCGUUGCGCGGAAAAGUGGGAGCGCGCUAAACUGUCAUUAUCGCGAUUGAAAAUCACGCGAUAUUUCAGAAAAAAUGUCCAACACUCUUUAGUGGACGCUCUUUGUGCCUAUGAGGUCUGUGACAAUCUUUCCAGUCGAUCAGAAAUUUUGUGUCGGUUUUCGUAAGAGCUCUACAUAUACGUAUUUAUUUGCAUAAUUUAUUUUGAAAGUGCACGGUUGUGAUUUUGAAUUUUUAUAAAGCUCAGAAAGCUUUUCGCUCCCAAAAAAGCCAACCGUUGCUUUUGCAUUUACAUCUUUCUACUUAGACUUUUGCAUAAAUAUUUCUCUUUGCAUUUGUAAAUUUUCUCGCUUCUCUCUUUUCUUUUGUAAAAACACAAACGCGAUGAAUAGUUUCUUGUACCUUAUCGAUGUCUAAUUGCAACGGUUCAAGUGUAACAAGAAGUGUCUCCACAGUUGUAAUCGUUAAGCCGGCAAUUUCAUGGUUCGCCUCGCACAAAAUGCAGCGAGUCAAAAAAACGCGGGAAAACGUUGGGUCCGCAAAGAGAAAUGCGCGAGCAAUAAUAGAAACGGGAGAGGAGCGAAGCGUAGUGCCGGAAGCGUCAGAGAGACGGACAGAGCUCGCGAAGCACACAGAUCGAGACAAUAAGACGCGAAAGGAAUGAGAAACGGGACGCGGGGAACGGACGGACGAGCAGAGUCCAUCGCCGGUGACCGCAUCGCUACAAUGAGAGUUUAAUUCGUUCAUUGAGACCGCGCCGUAUGGCGCAGUCCGCGUGCUGCCAUCGCUGAUAGAGCAACGGUGACGAUGAGAUCGAGAGCGCCUGCUCGAGAGCCAAGAUGUCCGGGACGGGAUGAUAGCGCUGAUGGAGCACCGUUCACCACGAGAGAGUGGCGGUUUAAAGUGGCCGACAAUAGCGCGCCAGACACAAGCGCCGGGUUUUACGCAUGCCGCUGUAAGGAAGGAAGGAAGGAAGGAAGCGAGUAAGUACCUACGACGAUUGCGAGCGAGUGUCAAUAGCCGGCGCGCAAAUACCCGGACAAACAGCCGGCGCGGAACAAGAAAACAUUUUCGGCAGCGGCUCACGCCCUCACGGUCCAGGAAGCUGUCUUCCUUUCUCUUUCUCUUCCUAUCCCUAUCUCUCUCGUCGGGUGCCGUCCUCCACUGGCAAACACGAUCCUCGUCCGUCAAGUAUACCCGGGAGAUAAGCCGGAAAAUACGGGACGCCCUUAACGCACUCGAGAUACCACGACUCGGCACGAAAAACUGAUGUAUUAUGUAUUUAUUUAUUUCUCCCUCGUCGUGUGGCGAGAGAGAAUCCUGGACCCGGCGCAUACUGUAAUGAAUUAUGCAUCUUGAUAAGGUGCCUUGUCGAGGCAUACGCGUAUGCAAGCGUGCGUGAAAAGCUUCGUGAUUAGACAAUAGGAACUGCGCGCUCGAGGCGUAGGAGUCGAGGAUCGGAAUCGAGUAAAAUUGUUGUCCGAUUAUUGCGCGCGAACGCAACGACGAAAAAUCUCGUUCGCUAUAAGUAAAUCCUGCGAUAAGAUUUGCUAUGCUUCGUAUUUUCACAGCAAUAUGAAUAAAUAUAUACGUUUGUACCGAAUUGUCGUCGUGCCAUUUCAGUUUCGACGCGCUCAAGCGCGUUCAAGCGCUGGACAAGCGUGAAGAUUAAUUUUUGGGUAGAGGGAAGCGCGCGCGGUAUUAUGGAAUUCGCUGGUAAAAAGUGAAACAAUGCAUUAUUCACAAUAAAAUAAUCGGAAAGAGAGAAACUCGAAAUAUUUGAUCGUCCGUUUGACGAGAUUCGCGGUAGGUCGUUGCUCCAUCGCGAAUAUAACGUUGCGCAACCGGUUUCUGCAGCGGAGAAGGAAAAAAAAAGAGAGGAAGUCAUCGUGUAGGUUAACAUGUGGGCGGAAGUGACGACGGAAACUCGGUGGAAAGUGGGUCGCCCGAAAGUCGGGCGAAACCCCUUCGAAGUAGAACCCCCUUGGCAGGGACGAUGCACCGGGACGAGCGCGAUAAUUAAUAUCAGUUUAGCGGCAACUUGGAGGAUGCAAUAAGUUAAUAAGCGGAGCCGCGCGCGCCAAGUUUCGUACCCGCGAUCGAGCAUCCGACCCCGGGAGAGUCCUGGCUAGAGUUUGAGCCGCCGCUGUCUUCAGCAACUUACACCGACGCGUCUUAUCCGCGUGCACACACCCACGCGCGAGUAUCCAGGAUAUCCGCGACGCGAAUCGUGCCCCCAGUACCGUGCGCUAAGGGGAUUGGGGAGGGAUCGCGGAUUUCGUUUCCAGCUACGAAAAUUGAGAGAAAUCGUAGAGAAAUUGCUCAUCACUGCCUUUGACAGGGUCUACUCUCUCGGGAAUUUCGGAAAUCGCGCUCAUCCCGUCAACCCCGUUUCCCAGGAUUUUGGAAUGCGCCCUCCCCCCUCCCGUGGACGUGUGUCUUCCGUUGUUACCAAGUUGGUUACAGCGUUGGGCGAGCCAACGGCGUGGAGAGCGCACGCUAGAACGGAGGGCGCGCUCACGCAGCAGGAAUCUCCACUUUCGGGUCGGAGCUACCCCGCAGGCAUGCUUAUCAACCCCACGGGUUCUGCCAAACUAUUGCUCGCAACCGAUAUCCCCCCCCUUGCCCGUAUUCCCCUCCCCCGUCCCGCCUCUCUUUAUCUGUCUGUCUGUCUGCCGACUUAUCUAUCUCGCUACUUCUCCCGAACGCUCGAUUAGCGCCGUGGUAUUGAUCAGAAUGCUCGCCGGAAAUCUUGCUCGUUCUAUCGAACUCGCUCAUGCUUCUUGAAUCAGAAAGGUGUGUAUGCCAUGCAUUUGAGAAACGAUUUUUACUUAUUUUUAGAUACGAGAAAGAAUCAUAUUUUAUUUAUUAAAUAGUGCAGCGUAGCAAACUACAUAUUUUAUAAUUGUACAGUGUUGAUUCGAUUAUCGUUUGUCCGUAAGAUCUCUCUGAAACGAUUUAACUUUUUCCAACUUUAUUUUUGCCAUUAGAUAGUUAAGAAUCUUGGCUCUACCGAAAGCGAAAUGUGAGUAAAAUCGGUUGACUGUAGAAGAUAAUUAUUCAACUUUUUUAACGAAGUUUUUUCUAGUUACAACAAUUAUUCGUUGAUUGGGAGAGAAAUAUUUGAUAAAAUCAACCAACGUUUUGUUGAAUAGUAAUAAAAUAAAUUUUAUAGUUAUAAUUAAUAAAUAUAUAGUUGUUUUAACCAAACAAUUUAUAGUCUUAACCAAAUAAUUAUUUUCAUACAACAAAUUACAAAAAAUUUUGUUAAAUGUAACCAAGUUUUUUGUACCAGUAACUACAAAAUUUAUUUCAUCACUAUUCAACCAAACGCGCGUUAGUUGAACUCACUAAACAAUUUCUCUCAGUGUACCACUUGUCUACAUCUAUUGCAAAGGGAUUAUUUACUUUAAUUGUUUACUGUAUAUAAUUGAUAAUUUUAUCACUUAUUAGAACGAUUCCGGUUCGAGAUAAUAUAAAAUUGUAACAUUUUCGAGGCAUCGUUACACUUUUCAAAUACUUGAGAAUUACAACUUUUCGGAGCAUCGCGUGCUCUACGCGAGACCCACGUAAACGGAAACUAAAACAACCGGGCUGUUUAUUUGGAAUGUGCGAAAAUAACGGGCGAUAACGAGCACGCGCUAGAAAAGCAGGGGCUAAGCGGGGCUUGGCAUAGAUGGAUAUGCAAAGGUGCGAAACUGCAAGCUAUGGAAGAUGUGUGUGCGCUAAGCAGCCUGCCUAUAUGCUCCAACUGGUCCAGAUAAACCGAAAUUACAUCGAGGGAACGCCAAACUUCCUCGGCAAAAGCCUCGGAUUAAAGCCAAUAAUCGGGUAUUUACGUACGAGGUACGUAGAGACAAAUCAAAGAAUAAAUUUAAAUGAAAAGCUUCAACGACUUAAAAAUAUCAAAAAUUUUUAUAUUUUAAUUUCAAUUUUUUUUCUAAAAAGUUACAAUGAGCCCAACAAGCCGUUCAUUACAAUUUUAGAAUUUAUUUAUCUUUUAGUCGCUUUGCGUCAAAAUACAAGAGUUUUUCAAUUCCGUUUCUUUAUAAAAAAAAUAAAACGCGCGCACACGCAAAUAGUUAUCUGCCUAGCCACAAGGAUUCCAAAAAUAUGACACACCGUACAAAUAUUUAUUUUGUGUAUUUUAUUUCUUUUAUAAAAGCGAUAAGUACUGAGUUCACGAGUUUGAUGAAUAGUCUUUUUAUAUUUGAUGAUAAUAAUAAUUUGUAAUUUCGAUCUUUCUCUCUCUCUCUCUCUCUCUCUCUCUCUCUCUCUCUCUCUCUAUACUAAUUUAAUAAUUUCAAGUUAAAUUUAAAUAUUCAUGCUACAGAUAAAGAUAAAAGAAAAAUUAUACAUAUUAAAAUCAACGAUAAAUGAUUGACAGUUUUAACGAACACUCGCUUUAAUUUGUCCUCGGAAAUUUGUAAUUUAAGCAUUUAGAUUCAAUUAAAAGAUUAAAGAUCCGUUUGUAUCUUUGUGAGAGUAAUUUGAUAAAAUGUACAAUAUAAUUUUCAUUCCGGAAAUGAAUUUAUUUUAAUAAUUUUGCCUAAUAAAAGUCAUAUUGUGCGAAUCUUUUUUUAUUAUCGCAAAUUAUCUCAAUUCGCACUCGUCUGAAAUUAACGAGAUAUUUGGCGUUCUACCAUCCUGUAACAUUAGUAAAUCAAACAGACUAUUCGUCAGCCAUUCAUUUUCGAUGAUUGAUUCUGUGGCUCUCAUCCGUUAUCUCUCGCCGAUAAUUUAUUAAACGAAUUCACCUAAUUAUAGAUUCUUCUUCGGGACGGUCUUUUUUAUAAGUGACAACUUAAUCCUCCUCAUCGUCUUAAAUCUCUCCCUCCCUACCUUCGUUUUAUUUCAAUCACUUUUUUUGUUCGAGAACAUCCAUUAUGUUCCAGUUCUGCUAGUGACUUUGCAUUAAUGGCUUGACACGUCGUGUAGGCCAAACAGAGGCGUCAUUAAGAUAAUCAGAAAAAUUAAUAAUUUGCAAAAAUGCGGCAAAAAUCGCUAAAGUUUAUAAAUGUCUGAUUUUAUACUCCAAGUUCUACUUUAGGACUCGCUUUGUUCAGUGGCGCAACUUGCGCUCGACGAAAUCAACGUUUCAUUGAUGCCUCGUCAAUUGUUCCAUAUCGGCGCGAUCCAUAAGUGCCGUCAAGCCUAUAUGCCGAUGUAGAUGUCCGUCGAUGAUUGACUCACGUGCCAUCGCCAUGGCGAUGGUAACAGUGGAGACACAUCGGACCUUUACAACGUUCGAUGCGUGGCACGUGACGGGACGCGGAAAGGUAACAAGGAUUUAAUCGAGCCGGGGUGUGUAACAACGCAUGGGUAUUUGUGCGUGGGUGCGUUCGCGUAAUACCUUGUGGCAGAGAGACUAAAGCCGGAAACCCGCAAUUAGUUAGCUCAAUUUCCGUUUCGUUUAAUUUGCGCCGUUACAACGGACGCGACGUAGCCGAUAUAUGUAGACGACGCGAACGCAAAGGAAGGUGGAUUGCCGAAUGAAUUCUGAAUCAUUGGCAAAUUACGCGCAGGAUAUCGCCAAAUUGUAGGGUUUGUGCUGGAGAUAUGAGACGGAAGACAGCUUUCAUAAAUAGAAUUCAUUUCCAAAGAGUAAAAAUCCAAGUACAGUCUUAUUUAGUUGAUAUAAUUUUUAAAUUAAACUCCCAUUUAAUUAGAUCUAAAAAUCCGGAUUAAAAAUCUCUGUGAAAACACAAAUCAAAGAGCUUAUUGAUCGUCAACUGACGAUUUCGACGCAUAUAAUUAUUCUUUUAUUAUUUAAGAAUGUAUGACAAUUUCAAUUUUUUAUUAGAAAUGCAAUUUUAUCGCGCGAAAAUAUCUUCACAUUUCGCAGAAAAAUUUUUUCCAAUAUUUUACGAUUGGUCAGUUAAUUGAUACGCGGCAGGGCGGGGAGGGAGGAAGAUAACGCUUGGGCGUAUCGACCAUCUGGAAUCGCACGGCGAUCAAGACUCGCCUUCGGUGCAGUCAUUAAAAUCGAGCGAGGUAAAGACGACAAAACCACCACAUUGCACAAUGGCCCUCCCAUAGUAAGCUCCUAUAUAGAGAAGACCGUCAGCGUUCGGUGAAGGGCUCGUCCUCAGGAAGUCGGGAGAGAGACGGGAAGGCGAUAACAAACCGUCCGGUUCAAUGGCAGCGGCUUCUGGGACAAGACUCUGGGAACGCCAUCGUCGAAAUAGAAGGUAUCUUGAGCCGGCGCGCAAUGGACUCGCACCGCGCUCAUACCACCCUCGGGGCGCGCGGCCGGGAUCGGCUUGACGUACACGGGGGUGGAACGCGAGAACUCGAAUACGCUCGAGCGUAAUUUCGGAGUCGAUUCCGCAGCGAGGCGAGAAACUUUCAUCGAGGACUAUCAUUUAUCGAAAGGGGAUUACGCGAAUUCAAUAUUUCCGCGUUUAAGCCCGAGAUUAAAUCUCCGUUAGGGCAAGACGAAAUUGACUGAGAGGCGAGAUCUUAUUAUAUCUCUGUUCUACCGUCACCUCGAGAUCCGAUUCAACGAAAACCGAUCAAUCCUUAGUGUUAUUUCUAACGCUAAAUCGUUUUUCGAUUAGACUAACGAAUCCAGUUCGAAUCUUCGCUGAGGAGAGAAUCGAUUGCACAUUUCGUCAAGAGCUGUGUGCACGCGCGAUUUCCAUAUUUUCCACGAUAUACCUCGUACAAUCGGCUGUAACGUUUGUAUGUACUCUGCGAAAGAAGAUUCGGUCGGGAACAAAUGCCGUUUAAUACUUUCGAGCGUGCUUGCCUCGGAGUGAGUUUUGACUUGUAGAUACGCGAGAGCACGAGUGGGAUUAAAUCUCUGCCGAUAAUCGACACUCAUUGGUAAUAUCGUGAAAAAUGUGGAAAGCAGUACUCCUAUCGAAUACACAGUUUCGCAUCGUUUAAAAGAGUUCGACAAAAAUGCUUGUUAAUUAUUUUUAUUGCAUAAUUAAAUUUCUAAGAUAAAGCAAAGUAUCUUUGAGUAUCAUUGAAUAAAUUAUCUUAUAUUUACUUUUUUGUAUAAAGUAAAAGCCUAAUUAGAAUUUUAUAUAAAACAAGAAUCCAAUGCACAUCUGGUAAAAAGGAAUUAAAAUGUCUGUUUAAAUACUCUUAUUACGAUAUCUAUUAGAGAUUUGUUUUGUUUGGCUUGCUUUCGUAAUAGAUAAAAGAGUGGUAGAUAAAAGAGAGUGUAGAAUAGAAUUGAAUUGGCAAUUGGAAGGGUGAACAACUGAAAACAGGAUUAAAUGAAAAGACUACGCGAAAAAACAUCGCUUUGUUGCUAGAUUUGCGAGCUUUUUUUUAGAAAAUAAUCUUUAAAUUUGAAGUUCGGAGCGUCUUUUAAAUUUAAGUAGCAGUAUGUAAGUUUGUGUGAAACUCGUAACAAUUUAACAUUUAUCCGCAAGUCAUACUAGCAAUUUUUCAUUGAGGAAAAGCUCUAAACUUGCCAAACAGGAUCUAUAGAAUUAAGGUCGCUAAUUACGGUACACGUGAUUCUCUUCGUUUAGAGUAAAUUCUUUUUUUAACAAAUGAGUUUUUCUUUGCCAAAAGCAAAUACCAUUUGUAAAAGAAGUUCAGUCUUCAAUAGUUUAUUGUUAUUCAUUAUUUAAAAGUCACACAAUUUCUUUACAUAAAAUGUGACGCGGAAUACAAAUAAAUUUUUCGGCGAGCAGGUUUUCAUUCCGAGAAAUUUCAUGCGCACUUUAGAGUUGCAGAUAUUAUUAUAUUUUAAGCUCUCGAGCUUUAAC